rnacentral:lncRNA from 1 species
UUAAUCAUCUCAAUACUUCUCUUAGUGCCAAAACCUCAAUCAGUUGAGGAGAAACAAUCCCAUCUGAAAAAUCAAUCUAUCCACUACAAAACUGUCCUACACUAUUUUUGAUCACAGCUGCAAAUGAAAUCAUGUUCUCUCACUCAUGGAUUUCAACAUCUACAUUACAUUUUUUUUUCAUCAAUAAUAAGUUUCAUCCAAUUCAAUUGCCGGGUACAAAAGCAGGAACAGUCUUAACCCAAACAUGUCGCCAUUCUAUCAGCCUCAUUUUGAAGCAAAGAAUACCUAAUGGAAGAAAUACAAAGCAUGAUCAUACUAACCUAAGCGCAAAGCCUAGUUUUAGCAUAAUGAAUUUCAAAAAUUUCUAGUCAACUCUAUCAUACACCUUGUUGACAUCUACUUUUAAAGCUACUUCUCCUCUCUUGCUUCUAGUCUUCCUCUUUCCUCUUUAUAAAGUGAAUAAAUUUAAAAGUAAUCAUUAUAUUGUAUGUAAUCAUACAAUCAGGAACCAAAGAAAAUUGUACAAGAAAGAUAAUGGCUUGAAGCAAUACUUUGAAAUGAUUAGUCAAGGUCUUAGCAACAAUCUUACACUACAAGAUUUUUCCGGAUUAGUAACGGAUUUUUCCGUUACUAAUCAAUGAAAAAUCCGUUACUAACCAGUUUAGUAACGGAUUAGUAACGGAUUUACAUCCGUUACUAUGAACCUCGUUGCUAAUGCAAUAGUAACCGAUUAGCAAUCCGUUACUGAUUUAGUAACGGAUUUAGUAACGGAUUUGUAAUGAAAUUUAGUAACGGAUUU